ensembl:lncRNA
GGGGGGGGGGGGUCACGUCCCCCUCACUUUAAAAAAAAUUCGUUUGGACCCCCCCCACAUUUGCCAUCAAAAUAUUAGUGCAUGACUGGUCUACUAGUCCAGCGUUCUUUCUUUUCAUUGCUUCACAAUCAAAUCCGUUCCAUUUUAUCAGUAGGGGGAAUACCCAUAGCAAUAGAAAUCCACUCCGCGUUUUCCUGGUUUCCUACACAUUACGCACGCAGAUUCAACUCCCAUACUCCUUGAUCGAAGCGUCUCGCUGGCAGCUAGCACUUGGUUUCAGACAUAGACUGUUAGACUCUCCCACAGACGAGAUGGACAUAAGGAGGUUUUUUUUCGAGGAAGAGGAAAGUAAGUCAGAGUUGCCCAAGUUUUCCCUUUAGUGGCCAAAGCACCCUUAUGAGACAUUCUCUGGCUAUAAUAGCAUUAAGUCACAAAGAUCCUUCUGCAAACAUUAUGGUUACAGCUAGAUAAGCAAGCUAUUUACCUACAACUAGCACUAGGCAAUACCAUACUUUAUUUACCCAUGGAACAGCAUUUGUUGAUUUCUUAAUCUGGGUCUGAAAUAUGUUGUGCUUUUGGCCGUGUUCAGACCUAGGCGUCUGUGUCGGGCAGAAAGCGAUGACCAGGAGUUUUUUUUUCAAGUAGCUACAAAAAAAAAUGCUGGUGUUUUUUUGUAUUGCCAUAACAACCGUUACAUGAGCUAAUCUGGAGUUAACGUUAGCUAACAUGCUAGUUUUCGAACGACUUUUUAAAUCCUCCUUUUAAAUCUUUGCUCUCAUUAAAUGGAGAAUAAAGUGCCAAAGUUGUCAGUGUCAGUCCUCUGUGUAUUACACCAAAACAUUAUCCUGGCUUUCACCAGACCAUACUCAAUCUCUGCAGAUCGGGCUGGGUUUACCCAGUCUACCAGAACAUAAUAGUAGUCAGCAAUUGCAGACCAUGCCAACUCUAAGGGGAGGAAAUGAAAGAGAGAGAUCAUUUUCUAUCUAAAAACAUGGUAAAUGCACCAGAAUGCGGGAAAUUGCAUCUACAUCUUUCAAAAUUUCCGGGGGGAGAACCCCCAGACCCCCCCGCCAAAAUAUGUCCCCCCCACUCUCAAAAUGCUGCUGACGCC